CACGUAGGCGGCUUCGCAAGUCGGAUGUGAAAUCCCUCGGCUCAACCGAGGACGUGCAUCCGAAACUGCGAAGCUUGAGUACAGAAGAGGAUCGCGGAAUUCCCGGUGUAGAGGUGAAAUUCGUAGAUAUCGGGAGGAACACCAGUGGCGAAGGCGGCGAUCUGGGCUGAUACUGACGCUGAGGUGCGAAAGCGUGGGAGCAAACA
rnacentral:rRNA from 1 species